rnacentral:rRNA from 1 species
GACGAACGCUGGCGGCGUGCUUAACACAUGCAAGUCGAACGGAAAGGCCCUGCUUUUGUGGGGUGCUCGAGUGGCGAACGGGUGAGUAACACGUGAGUAACCUGCCCUUGACUUUGGGAUAACUUCAGGAAACUGGGGCUAAUACCGGAUAGGAGCUCCUGCUGCAUGGUGGGGGUUGGAAAGUUUCGGCGGUUGGGGAUGGACUCGCGGCUUAUCAGCUUGUUGGUGGGGUAGUGGCUUACCAAGGCUUUGACGGGUAGCCGGCCUGAGAGGGUGACCGGCCACAUUGGGACUGAGAUACGGACCAGACUCCUACGGGAGGCAGCAGUGGGGAAUAUUGCACAAUGGGCGGAAGCCUGAUGCAGCAACGCUGCGUGCGGGAUGACGGCCUUCGGGUUGUAAACCGCUUUCGCCUGUGACGAAGCGUGAGUUACGGUAAUGGGUAAAGAAGCACCGGCUAACUACGUG